rnacentral:rRNA from 1 species
GACGAACGCUGGCGGCGUGCUUAACACAUGCAAGUCGAACGGAAAAGCCCUGCUUUUUCGGGGUGCUCGAGUGGCGAACGGGUGAGAAACACGUGAGUAACCUGCCCUGGACUUUGGGAUAACUUCAGGAAACUGGGGCUAAUACCGGAUAGGAGCUCCUGCUGCAUGGUGGGGGUUGGAAAGUUUCGGCGGAUGGGGAUGGACUCGCGGCUUAUCAACUUGUUGGUGGGGUAGUGGCUUACCAAGGCUUCGACGGGUAGCCGGCAUGAGAGGGUGACCGGCCACAUUGGGACUGAGAUACGGCGCAGACUCCUACGGGAGGCAGCAGUGGGGAAUAUUGCACAGUGGGCGGGAGCGUGAUGCAGCAACGCCGCGUGCGGGAUGACGGCCUUCGGGUUGUAAACCGCUUUCGCUUGUGACGAAGCGUGAGUGACGGUAAUGGGUAAAGAAGCACCGGCUAACUACGUG